rnacentral:rRNA from 1 species
GACGAACGCUGGCGGCGUGCUUAACACAUGCAAGUCGAACGGAAAGGCCCUGCUUUUGUGGGGUGCUCGAGUGGCGAACGGGUGAGUAACACGUGAGUAACCUGCCCUUGACUUUGGGAUAACUUCAGGAAACUGGGGCUAAUACCGGAUAGGAGCUCCUGCUGCAUGGUGGGGGUUGGAAAGUUUCGGCGGUUGGGGAUGGACUCGCGGCUUAUCAGCUUGUUGGUGGGGUAGUGGCUUACCAAGGCUUUGACGGGUAGCCGGCCUGAGAGGGUGACCGGGCAGGGGGGGAGAGGGGCAGGGGCGCGGACGGGGGGGGAGGGAGGGGUGGGGAGUAGAGCAGAGGGGGAGGACGGCUGCGGCAGCGACGCGGGGGGGGGGAGGGCGGCCGGGGGUGUGGAAGCCGCUGUCGGGGGUGAGGGGGGGGGGGGGGCGGUGAGGGGCAAAGAAGCGCCGGGUAACGACGGGAAAGCAGCGGGGGUAAUAAGCGGAAGCGCAACCGUCUGAAC